rnacentral:rRNA from 1 species
UGGGGAAUUUUGGACAAUGGGCGAAAGCCUGAUCCAGCAAUGCCGCGUGUGUGAAGAAGGCCUUCGGGUUGUAAAGCACUUUUGUCCGGAAAGAAAUCCUUGGCUCUAAUACAGUCGGGGGAUGACGGUACCGGAAGAAUAAGCACCGGCUAACUACGUGCCAGCAGCCGCGGUAAUACGUAGGGUGCAAGCGUUAAUCGGAAUUACUGGGCGUAAAGCGUGCGCAGGCGGUUUGCUAAGACCGAUGUGAAAUCCCCGGGCUCAACCUGGGAACUGCAUUGGUGACUGGCAGGCUAGAGUAUGGCAGAGGGGGGUAGAAUUCCACGUGUAGCAGUGAAAUGCGUAGAGAUGUGGAGGAAUACCGAUGGCGAAGGCAGCCCCCUGGGCCAAUACUGACGCUCAUGCACGAAAGCGUGGGGAGCAAACAGGAUUAGAUACCCCUGGUAGUCCACGCCCUAAACGAUGUCAACUAGUUGUUGGGGAUUCAUUUCCUUAGUAACGUAGCUAACGCGUGAAGUUGACCGCCUGGGGGAGUACGGUCGCAAGAUUAAAACUCAAAUGAAUUGACGGGGU